rnacentral:rRNA from 1 species
GAUGAACGCUAGCGGCAGGCUUAACACAUGCAAGUCGAGGGGCAGCAUGGUCUUCGGACUGAUGGCGACCGGCAAACGGGUGCGGAACACGUACAGAAUCUGCCUUUAUCUGGGGGAUAGCCUUUGGAAACGAAGAUUAAUACCCCAUAGUAUUAUUAGGUGGCAUCACCUUGAUAAUUAAAGAAUUUCGGAUAGAGAUGACUGUGCGUACUAUUAGCUAGUUGGUAGGGUAACAGCCUACCAAGGCUACGAUAGUUAGCUGAUGUGAGAGCAUGAUCAGCCACGAGGGCACUGAGACACGGGCCCGACUCCUACGGGAGGCAGCAGUGAGGAAUAUUGGUCAAUGGGCGCAAGCCUGAACCAGCCAUGCCGCGUGAAGGAUGAAGGCGUUCUGCGUCGUAAACCUCUUCUACCUGGGAAGAAACCUACCUUUUCUAAGGUAGCCGACGGUACCAGAGGAAUAAGCACCGGCUAACUCCGUGCCAGCCGCCGCCGUAA